CCUACGGGUGGCAGCAGUGGGGAAUAUUGCUCAAUGGGGGGAACCCUGAUGCAGCGACGCCGCGUGAGUGACGAAGUAUUUCGGUAUGUAAAGCUCUAUCAGCAGGGAAGAAGAUGACGGUACCUGACUAAGAAGACCCGGCUAACUACGUGCCAGAAGCCGCGGGAAUGCGUAGGGGGCAAGGGUUAUCCGGAUUUACUGGGUGUAAAGGGAGCGUAGACGGCAGGGCAAGUCUGGAGGUAAAGCCCGGGGCCCAACCCCGGGACAGCUUUGGAAACUGCCAGGCUGGAGUGCUGGAGAGGUACGCGGAAGUCCUAGUGUAGCGGUGAAAUGCGUAGAUAUUACGAGGAACACCGGUGGCGAAGGCGGCAUACUGGACAGUAUCUGACGUUGAGGCUCGAAAGCGUGGGUAGCGAACAGGAUUAGAUACCCGAGUAGUC
rnacentral:rRNA from 1 species